UUUUUGAAGGGAGGGCUAUAUAAAAUUUAGUAAAACAAAUUUGGCUUUUCAAUUUCUUUCCCAGUUCCUUGAAAAUUUUGCCCCCCCCCCCCCGAGUACAGAUAGGUUUUUGGAGGGAGCGCCAUAUAUAAAAUUCAGUACAGUAAAUAAGUUUUGCUUUGUAUGAUUUUUUGCAGAAAGCAGUUUUACGAGUCUUUCAUGCAUUACGCUUACAAAUAGUUACACCAAUUAAAAUACAUGAAAAAGAGAGCAGGUGGAGAACUCUGCAGAACACAAACAAUGUGGCCUAAGAACAAGAUUGCGAAGCAUAAUGAUAGUGUUCAUCUUGAAAAGCCUAGAGGUCAAAGACCAGAUGAAGAAAUGGCAAAGAAAAGCAUCUACAUUCAAGAAACUUUUUAUUAAAAAAUAUAAUAAAAAUAUUGAAUAAUACAUAGUUGAAUUUUAUUAAUACUCAGGGAUGUAAAUUUAAUGUUUUAUUCUUGUUUAAGCUUAAAUUUGUCUUUGUAUGUAUAAUCUCCAACCUGUUAGUGGAAGUUUCUUUCUCUGUUGGUUGAUUGAAUAAAAUAAAAUAACAAAAAUCAAAUGAACUACAAAUAAUGAAAACUAACUUAUUAUUUCAGUCUGUGUGGUUUUAAUUAACAUUUAUUUUGCAAUUCUCUCAUAAAUACAAUUUAAAUGACAAAGAAGAACAGACAAGAAGAUAAACUAUACCCCUUACACAACAUGUAACAAAAAAAUCAACAAAAUAGUAAACAAAGAUCAAUAUUGGCCUAGUUAUGUAUCAACUGAACACUACAUACAUUGACAACAGAAGAUAAUUUUAGACCUUUGUAAUUUUUACAUAGAAUAUAUGGGAUAUUGUCCCAGAAACAAAACCUCAGUUUUUGGUUUAGAUACAGCAGCAAUAUUUGACAUCAAUGUACAUCACUCAGCGACUGGAGAAAUCCAGCAAUUUCCAUGGUGUAGAAAAUGAAUCUCAACAAUAAUUAUUAUUAGAAAAUAUGAAUAUUCAGUAGUUCAUUACAAAACGAAUUUACAGUGGAAAAUAAUCAACAAUAAGACAAUCAAAAAACAUGCACAACUGGUCUCAAUCACAUUAUAAAUUCAAAAAAAUAGGGAUAAAAUUGAGGGCGCUACAUAGUAAAUAUAAAUAUUCAGUAGCAAAUUACGAGACCAAUUUACAGAGGAAAAUAAUCAGCCAUAAGACAAUCCCAAUAACAUGCACAACUGGACUGAAUUAAAUUAUUAAAUUAUGGAUGAAAUUGAGGGCGCUAUAUAAUAACAUUCAAUUACCAGGGUGUAGAAAAGCAUACAGGUCCUUACAAUUAUUAUCAUUGGAAACGAUGAAUAUUCAGUAGUAAAUUACGACACCAGUUUACAGUGAAAUAAAUCAGCAAUAAAUACGACAAUCACAAAAAUAUGCGGAACUGGUUUUGUAUAUAUUUUAUUAUUAAUUCAAACAAAGUAGUAAAAAAUUGAGGGCACUACACAACCCGGUCGAAAAUUUGCUUAGAAAAUAUGAAUAUUCAGUGUUAAGUCUAUCAUUAUAAAUUUGAACAAAGUAGGGAUAAAAUUGAGGGCGCUACAUAAUAACAAAUUAUGACACCAGUUUACAGUGGAAAUUAUUCAGCAAUAAAACAACCACCACAAUAACAUUCACAAUCGGAAUUAAAUUUAAAGCUUUGAUUCAAAGUAGUAAUGAAAUUGAGGGCGCUACACAAAUACAUGGUCGUAAAUCUGCUUAGUAUAUAUGAAUAUUCAGUGGUUAGAACUCAUUAUAUUUCAAAAAAGUAGAGAUGAAAUUGAGGGCGCCACCUAGUAAAUAUGAAUAUUCAGUAGUUAAUUUUAACACCAGAUUACAGUGGAAAUUAUUCAGCAAUAAAGCAAUCGCAAUAACAUGUUUACAAUAAAAAAGAAAAUCACACCUUAAAGUAGGAAUAAAAUUGAGGGCGCUAUAUAGUAAAUAUGAAUAUUCAUUAUGUGAAGCGCUUAGAGGCAUUGUAAAUGCAUAACAAUGACAUAUUAUUAUUAUUAUUAUUAUUAGUUAAUUACGACACCAGUUUACUACAGAAAUUACUGAACCAUAAACUGGUCUACAUAAAUUAAAAGUAAGGAUACGUUUGAGGGCGCUACAUACAUUUGACAAAAUUGAGGGCAAUAUAUAAUAAAUAUGAAUAUUCAUUAUUUAAUUAGGACACCAGUUUACUGCGGAUAUUACUCAACCACAAACUGGUCUAUAUAAAUUCAAAAUAGGAAUAAAUUUGAGGGCGCUACAUACAUUUAAUCCAAAUUACACCAUUUAUUUAGAAAAAAAAAACAAAAAAAACACAGAGGGCGGUAUUAAACCCCUGCAAUAAAUUUGCAUUGUUAACAUGAAUAUUCAUUAGCUUUGAAAACCUGUCGCUUACCAUCCACAAAUUAACACACUCUCUCAGAUUCACUUGGUUAGCUCAGUGGUUAGUGUUACGGAUUAUAACCUUGAGGCUACUAGGUUCAAGUCACACAAAUAUCUUUUUAUUUUUUUUUUAAA